UACGAAGGGUGCAAACGUUGCUCGGAAUUAUUGGGCGUAAAGCGCACGUAGGCGGCUUAGCAAGUCGGAAGUGAAAGCCCUCGGCUCAACCAAGGAAGUGCUUUCGAAACUGCUGAGCUUGAAUACUUAAGAGGAUCGCGGAAUUCCCGGUGUAGAGGUGAAAUUCGUAGAUAUCGGGAGGAACACCAGUGGCGAAGGCGGCGAUCUGGGAAGAUAUUGACGCUGAGGUGCGAAAGCGUGGGGAGCAAACAGGG
rnacentral:rRNA from 1 species